ensembl:rRNA 5S_rRNA 5S ribosomal RNA
GCCUGCAGUCAUUCCCCCUCAAGCUGUGAUUAUCAAAUAUCAUGAGCUAAGCAGAAUUGAGCUGUGCUGGUAUGUGGAUGGGAGACCUGUAGGGAAAUCCAGGUACUGCAGGGU